rnacentral:rRNA from 1 species
UACGAAGGGGCUAGCGUUGUUCGGAAUUACUGGCGUAAGCGCACGUAGGCGGAUCGAUCAGUCAGGGGUGAAAUCCAGGCUCAACCCUGGAACUGCCUUUGAUACUGUCGAUCUGGAGUAUGGAAGAGGUGAGUGGAAUUCCGAGUGUAGAGGUGAAAUUCGUAGAUAUUCGGAGGAACACCAGUGGCGAAGGCGGCUCACUGGUCCAUACUGACGCUG